rnacentral:rRNA from 1 species
GAUGUGUAGGAUAGGUGGGAGGCUUUGAAGUGUGGACGCCAGUCUGCAUGGAGCCGACCUUGAAAUACCACCCUUUAAUGUUUGAUGUUCUAACGUUGACCCGUAAUCCGGGUUGCGGACAGUGUCUGGUGGGUAGUUUGACUGGGGCGGUCUCCUCCUAAAGAGUAACGGAGGAGCACGAAGGUUGGCUAAUCCUGGUCGGACAUCAGGAGGUUAGUGCAAUGGCAUAAGCCAGCUUGACUGCGAGCGUGACGGCGCGAGCAGGUGCGAAAGCAGGUCAUAGUGAUCCGGUGGUUCUGAAUGGAAGGGCCAUCGCUCAACGGAUAAAAGGUACUCCGGGGAUAACAGGCUGAUACCGCCCAAGAGUUCAUAUCGACGGCGGUGUUUGGCACCUCGAUGUCGGCUCAUCACAUCCUGGGGCUGAAGUAGGUCCCAAGGGUAUGGCUGUUCGCCAUUUAAAGUGGUACGCGAGCUGGGUUUAGAACGUCGUGAGACAGUUCGGUCCCUAUCUGCCGUGGGCGCUGGAGAACUGAGGGGGGCUGCUCCUAGUACGAGAGGACCGGAGUGGACGCAUCACUGGUGUUCGGGUUGUCAUGCCAAUGGCACUGCCCGGUAGCUAAAUGCGGAAGAGAUAAGUGCUGAAAGCAUCUAAGCACGAAACUUGCCCCGAGAUGAGUUCUCCCUGACUCCUUGAGAGUCCUGAAGGAACGUUGAAGACGACGACGUUGAUAGGCCGGGUGUGUAAGCGCAGCGAUGCGUUGAGCUAACCGGUACUAAUGAACCGUGAG